rnacentral:rRNA from 1 species
GAUGAACGCUGGCGGCGUGCCUAAUACAUGCAAGUCGAGCGAACGGACGAGAAGCUUGCUUCUCUGAUGUUAGCGGCGGACGGGUGAGUAACACGUGGAUAAACUACCUAUAAGACUGGGAUAACUUCGGGAAACCGUAGCUAAUACCGGAUAAUAUUUUGAACCGCAUGGUUCAAAAGUGAAAGACGGUCUUGCUGUCACUUAUAGAUGGAUCCGCGCUGCAUUAGCUAGUUGGUAAGGUAACGGCUUACCAAGGCAACGAUGCAUAGCCGACCUGAGAGGGGGGUAGGCCCAGCUGGGAGCGGGUAACGGGCCAGACUCCGACGGGGGGACGGCGUAGGGAACCUUCCGACAAUGGAGGAGGCCUUAUGGAGCAAUGCCAGAUAGGUGGAGAAAGCUUUGCGGUCGUAAAAAUCUUGUUUUUAGGAAGGAAAAAUUGUUAAAUAACGGGUGAAAAUGUGACCGUACCUAAACAAGAAGCCAAGGCCAACGACG